UUUGGAUGAAAUAGGGGGAGACUUCACUCUCAAAUUUGAAAAGCUGAAAUUCAGCAACUUGAGCCCUUUUUAAAACUAAUUUUAAGAUAAGUAUCAAUAGGCUCAUACUCUAUAUUUUGUAAUCAUCAAAAAGGGGGAGAUUGAGGAUGAUAGUGGUAUUUUGAUGAUUAAUACAAUAAUCAAGAGUAUGUUACAAGUUAAUUCGAUACAUCAUUUAUAAGUCUGUCA
rnacentral:lncRNA from 1 species